CCUGUCGUGCGUGCAUCAGGAGGUGGCAGAGAGGAGAGAGGAUAUGUCUACACUCAGUGUUCUGACCUAAGAACAUCUGAAUGAUCAGUAGCCUAAUUUU
rnacentral:snoRNA from 1 species